rnacentral:rRNA from 1 species
GACGAACGCUGGCGGCGUGCUUAACACAUGCAAGUCGAACGGAAAGGCCCUGCUUUUGUGGGGUGCUCGAGUGGCGAACGGGUGAGUAACACGUGAGUAACCUGCCCUUGACUUUGGGAUAACUUCAGGAAACUGGGGCUAAUACCGGAUAGGAGCUCCUGCUGCAUGGUGGGGGUUGGAAAGUUUCGGCGGUUGGGGAUGGACUCGCGGCUUAUCAGCUUGUUGGUGGGGUAGUGGCUUACCAAGGCUUUGACGGGUAGCCGGCCUGAGAGGGUGACCGGCCACGGUGGGACUGAGUGACGGCUCGGAGUCAGCCGGGGGGGAGCAGUGGGGGAUAUGGCAGAAGGGGCGGAGGCCUGAUGCAGCAUCGCCGCGUGCGGGAGGACGGACUUCGGGUUGUAAAAAGCUUUCGCCUGUGACGAAGCGUGAGGGACGGUAAUGGGUAAAGAAGCACCGGCUAACUACGUG